GACGAACGCUGGCGGCGUGCUUAACACAUGCAAGUCGAACGCUGGGGCGAACGGGUGUGUCACGCAUAUUCAACCUGCCCUUCAGAGGGGUACCACUUUUUGAAACGACUGCUAAUACCGCAUACUGAAGGAGGGUAGUUCGUUUGUUUAGCUAGUGGGCGGGGGAACGGCCCACCAAGGCGAUGAUCAGUAGCCGGUCUGAGAGGAUGAACGGCCACAUCUGGACUGAGACACGGCCCAGACUCCUACGGGAGGCAGCAGGGGGGAAUCUUCCGCAAUGGACGAAAGUCUGACGGAGCAACGCCGCGUGAGUGAUGACGGCCUUCGGGUUGUAAAGCUCUGUUAAUCGGGACGCGGUACCGGAAUAGAAAGCCACGGCUAACUACGUGCCAGCAGCCGCGGUAAUAC
rnacentral:rRNA from 1 species